CAACCUUCUCUCCUCUCCCAACCCACUCGCCGCCGGCCUCCCUUCCACCUCUCCUCCGUCCAUCCGCCCCCAUGCCCCCCGCCGCGUGCGCCACACCGGCGGCCGCGCGCCCUCCGCUCCCCGUCUCGCGCCGCUGCCCGCCCCUGCCCCCCUCCGCCCGCCGCGGCGCCAGCUCCUCCUCCUCUACGGCAUGCCGCUGCACCGCGGCCUCCUCCCCCGGGGCAUCGGCGUCGGCGUGGGACUGGACCCGCUGGAGCCGGCACUUCGCGGAGGUGGACCAGGCCGAGAGCUACGCGUCCGUGCUGCGCUUCCAGCUGGAGGAGGCCGAGGACUUCGCCGAGGCCGCCGCCCUCAAGCGCGCCCUCCUCGACGCCACCGCCGCCGACGCCGUCUCCCGCGUCAUGGCCGAGCUCAAGGUCCGCUCGCUCGCCGCCUCCUCGCCGAUUCCAGCCCUGAUUGUUAAUACCUAGGUACAAGGACCAGGGGAUGAUCUAUCUACAUACAAUUUUAUGGGACUACAGGUUUUGAGAUCUUUGCUUUCCCAUGCAACCAGUUUGGUGGGCAGGAACUUGGCAUUGAUAAGGAAAUUGUUCAGAUUGCUUGCAUGCCGAGUAUCUAAUUUCUGACAAGGGUUCUGGUAGCGACGAUGAUGGUCGUCGAGAGGUUCGUGGACUGGACGGUGUCGUGGCUGCCAAUGUACAGAGAAGCGAAGCUGCUGCUCAUUAUCUACCUCUGUCACCCCAGCACAUGGAGUGCGGGGAGCGGGGCACGUGUACGAUGGCUUCCUCCGUCCGCUGGUGGCGAGGCACAAGGACGACAUCGACCGGUCCAGAUGGAGCUGAGGGCCAGAGCGAGGGACGUGACUGCGUCGCAACUCAAGGCGGCGGCUACCGUUAGUCAGGUGUGGCUCUUCGAGGCUAUCCAAUGUGUUUCGUCGCAGCUGCAGGCCGCGAGAUCAGGCCGGGCAGGCGCCGCACAUUGACGAGUGGUCCAAUUUUCGGAUCGCGCCAUAACAACUUACGUAGGUAGUUGCUUAUGUAAUUGUGCGAUAGAAUGGAAUUAUACAUGAGUUGCUGCUACAAGGAGGAACGUAGUUGCUUAUGUAACUGUGCGAUAGAAUGAAAUUAUACAUGCGUUGCUACUA